rnacentral:rRNA from 1 species
UGGGGAAUAUUGGACAAUGGGCGAAAGCCUGAUCCAGCCAUGCCGCGUGUGUGAAGAAGGUCUUCGGAUUGUAAAGCACUUUAAGUUGGGAGGAAGGGCAUUAACCUAAUACGUUAGUGUUUUGACGUUACCGACAGAAUAAGCACCGGCUAACUCUGUGCCAGCAGCCGCGGUAAUACAGAGGGUGCAGGCGUUAAUUGGAAUUACUGGGCGUAAAGCGCGCGUAGGUGGUUUGUUAAGUUGGAUGUGAAAUCCCCGGGCUCAACCUGGGAACUGCAUUCAAAACUGACUGACUAGAGUAUGGUAGAGGGUGGUGGAAUUUCCUGUGUAGCGGUGAAAUGCGUAGAUAUAGGAAGGAACACCAGUGGCGAAGGCGACCACCUGGACUAAUACUGACACUGAGGUGCGAAAGCGUGGGGAGCAAACA